rnacentral:rRNA from 1 species
GAUGAACGCUGGCGGCGUGCUUAACACAUGCAAGUCGAACGGAAAGGCUCCUGCUUGCAGGGGUACUCGAGUGGCGAACGGGUGAGUAACACGUGGGUGAUCUGCCCUGCACUUCGGGAUAAGCCUGGGAAGCUGGGUCUAAUACCGGAUAGGACGAUGGUUUGGAUGCCAUUGUGGAAAGUUUUUCGGUGUGGGAUGAGCUCGCGGCCUAUCAGCUUGUUGGUGGGGUAAUGGCCUACCAAGGCGUCGACGGGUAGCCGGCCUGAGAGGGUGUACGGCCACAUUGGGACUGAGAUACGGCCCAGACUCCUACGGGAGGCAGCAGUGGGGAAUAUUGCACAAUGGGCGCAAGCCUGAUGCAGCGACGCCGCGUGGGGGAUGACGGCCUUCGGGUUGUAAACUCCUUUCGCUAGGGACGAAGCGCAAGUGACGGUACCUGGAGAAGAAGCACUGGCUAACUACGUG